AUUGAACGCUGGCGGCAGGCCUAACACAUGCAAGUCGAACGAGUGGCGGACGGGUGAGUAAUGUCUUGGAAACUGCCUGAUGGAGGGGGAUAACUACUGGAAACGGUAGCUAAUACCGCAUACCAUCGGAUGUGCCCAGAUGGGAUUAGCUAGUAGGUGGGGUAAAGGGUCACCUAGGCGACGAUCCCUAGCUGGUCUGAGAGGAUGACAAGCCACACUGGAACUGAGACACGGUCCAGACUCCGACGGGAGGAGGCAGAGGGGAAUAUUGGAAAAUGGGCGCAAGCCUGAUGCAGCCAGGCCGCGUGUAGGAAGAAGGCCUGCGGGUUGUAAAGUACUUUCAGCGGGGAGGCGUUACCCGCAGAAGAAGCACCGGCUAACUCCGUGCCAGCCGCCGCGGUAAUUC
rnacentral:rRNA from 1 species